CGUUUUAGAGAAAGUUCUCGCUCCACCGAGAUCGCCUUGCUUCCAUAGAGCGGCGGCUCGUGCCUUGCGUGAAAUCCUCCCAAUCUGGCCAGACUUGUUCCCUACUCUCGCCGACUUUACUGACGGUUCUCUCGCCGGAUCUGAGGAUCUGCAGUACGAAAAACAUAAGAUGGGUCGAAAAGUCGGUGGAGUAUACAUAAGUCCAAAGAAAUUUGGCAAUAUGACGAGGCCAUGCAUGCAGGAAAUGAUAACAUUCCUCAGCUGCUUGUCCCUUAACCAAAACAAAGAUGAUAAAUGUGCUCGGCAAAAGGAUCUGCUGAAUGCUUGUAUGGAUUCUCAGGGUUCCAAAAACAGAAAGAGUUGGGGAAGCAUCAAUUAUCAUCUGCAGAGGCUUAACAGGGGGAGGAAGUAGUUUGGGUUCUACAGAGAAGUUUCAUAAUGUACUGCAUUACUGGAGGAAAGCUUUGCGACAUUUUGCGGAGAAAAUUUUCAGCUUAAUCCUUCUCGGUGGAUUUCGUUGAAAAUUUUAUUCAUUUUGCGAAUCAAGUAUUUAUAGGAGUGGACUGCCAAUUCUUGAUGUUUAAACCAAUUCUUGACAAUGUUGUUGCUGUUUGCAACUUGGUACUUGGUAGAGAUUCAAGUUCGAGCUAUUCUUGAUGUUCAAUCGAAGCAAAGGUUUGACUUUAUAUGUUUGAAUGUUGGUCA